rnacentral:rRNA from 1 species
UACGAAGGGGGCUAGCGUUGCUCGGAAUCACUGGGCGUAAAGGGUGCGUAGGCGGGUCUUUAAGUCAGGGGUGAAAUCCUGGAGCUCAACUCCAGAACUGCCUUUGAUACUGAGGAUCUUGAGUUCGGGAGAGGUGAGUGGAACUGCGAGUGUAGAGGUGAAAUUCGUAGAUAUUCGCAAGAACACCAGUGGCGAAGGCGACUCACUGGCCCGGUACUGACGCUGAGGCACGAAAGCGUGGUGAGCAAACAGG